rnacentral:rRNA from 1 species
GUUAUAUGGUCAAGUGAAUAAGUGCAUAUGGUGGAUGCCUUGGCGAUCAGAGGCGAUGAAGGACGUAGUAACCUGCGAAAAGCCUGGGGGAGUCGGUAAACAGACGUUAUAUCCCAGGAUGUCCGAAUGGGGAAACCCGGCCGUUUAGACGGUCAUCGUACAGUGAAUACAUAGCUGUACGAGGCGAACGUGGCGAAGUGAAACAUCUCAGUAGCCAUAGGAACAGAAAUCAACCGAGAUUCUCCUAGUAGCGGCGAGCGAACGGGGACCAGCCAACAGUCUUUAGCAUUUUAUAUAGCGGAACUCUCUGGAAAGUGAGGCCAUAGUGGGUGAUAGCCCCGUACGCGAAAUAUAGAGUGUGGAACUAAGUCUGUAACAAGUAGGGCGGGGCACGAGAAACCCUGUCUGAACAUGGGGGGACCAUCCUCCAAGGCUAAAUACUCCUGAUCGACCGAUAGUGAACCAGUACCGUGAGGGAAAGGCGAAAAGAACCCCUGUUAGGGGAGUGAAAUAGAACCUGAAACCGUAUGCAUACAAGCAGUGGGAGCCCGCAAGGGUGACUGCGUACCUUUUGUAUAAUGGGUCAGCGAGUUACGGUCUGUUGCGAGCUUAACCGAAUAGGGGAGGCGUAGCGAAAGCGAGUCUGAAUAGGGCGAUUAGUAGCAGGCUGUAGACCCGAAACCACGUGAUCUAGUCAUGGCCAGGAUGAAGCGAAGGUAACACUUCGUGGAGGUCCGAACCCACGCCCGUUGAAAAGGUCGGGGAUGAGCUGUGACUAGGGGUGAAAGGCUAAUCAAACGUGGUGAUAGCUGGUUCUCCUCGAAAGCUAUUUAGGUAGUGCCUCAUGUAUUGCUCCCGGGGGUAGAGCACUGUUUCGGCUAGGGGGUCAUCCCGACCUACCAACCCGAUGCAAACUCCGAAUACCGGGAAGUAUGAGCAUGGGAGACACACGGCGGGUGCUAACGUCCGUCGUGAAGAGGGAGACAACCCAGACCGCCAGCUAAGGUCCCCAAAUUAUCACUAAGUGGGAAACGAUGUGGGAAGGCUAAAACAGCCAGGAUGUUGGCUUAGAAGCAGCCAUCAUUUAAAGAAAGCGUAAUAGCUCACUGGUCGAGUCGGCCUGCGCGGAAGAUGUAACGGGGCUAAGUGAUAUACCGAAGCUGCGGAUGCACCGCAAGGUGCAUGGUAGAGGAGCGUCGUGUACGCCUGUGAAGGUGAAUCGUAAGGUUUGCUGGAGGUAUCACGAGUGCGAAUGCUGACAUGAGUAACGAUAAUGGGGGUGAAAAACCCCCACGCCGAAAGACCAAGGGUUCCAGUUCGACGUUAAUCGGAGCUGGGUAAGUCGACCCCUAAGGCGAGGCUGAAAAGCGUAGUCGAUGGGAAACAGGUUAAUAUUCCUGUACUUGGUGUUGCUGCGAUGGAGAGACGGAGAAGGCUAUAGCAUCCGGAGAACGGUAGUUCCGGUUUAAGGUCGUAGGCAGUUCCCUUAGGCAAAUCCGGGGGAACAAUGCUGAGAGCUGAUGACGAGCGUCCACGGACGUGAAGUGCUAGAUGCCCUGCUUCCAGGAAAAUCUUCUAAGCUUCAGGCAACACGAAAUCGUACCCGAAACCGACACAGGUGGUCAGGUUGAGUAUACCAAGGCGCUUGAGAGAACUCGGGUGAAGGAACUAGGCAAAUUGGCACCGUAACUUCGGGAGAAGGUGCGCCGGCCCGUGUGUAAGCCCUUGCGGCUGAAGCAUGAGCUGGUCUCAGUAAAUAGGCUGCUGCAACUGUUUAUCAAAAACACAGCACUCUGCAAACACGAAAGUGGACGUAUAGGGUGUGACGCCUGCCCGGUGCCGGAAGGUUAAUUGAUGGGGUUAGCGCAAGCGAAGCUCUUGAUCGAAGCCCCGGUAAACGGCGGCCGUAACUAUAACGGUCCUAAGGUAGCGAAAUUCCUUGUCGGGUAAGUUCCGACCUGCACGAAUGGCGUAAUGAUGGCGGCACUGUCUCCACCCGAGACUCAGUGAAAUUGAAAUCGCUGUGAAGAUGCAGUGUACCCGCGGAAAGACGGAAAGACCCCGUGAACCUUUACUGUAGCUUCACAUUGGACUUAGAACCUGCUUGUGUAGGAUAGCUGGGAGACUUUGAAGCCGAGACGCCAGUUUCGGUGGAGUCAACCUUGAAAUACCAGCCUGGUAUGUUUUGAGUUCUAACCUAGGCCCAUGAUCUGGGUCGGGGACAAUGUGUGGUGGGCAGUUUGACUGGGGCGGUCUCCUCCUAAAGCGUAACGGAGGAGCACGAUGGUGCGCUAACGACGGUCGGAAAUCGUCGGGAUUGUGUAUAGGCAAAAGCGCGCUUGACUGCGAGACGUACAUGUCGAGCAGGGUCGAAAGACGGUCUAAGUGAUCCGGUGGUUCUGUAUGGAAGGGCCAUCGCUCAACGGAUAAAAGGUACUCCGGGGAUAACAGGCUGAUACCGCCCAAGAGUUCAUAUCGACGGCGGUGUUUGGCACCUCGAUGUCGGCUCAUCACAUCCUGGGGCUGUAGCCGGUCCCAAGGGUAUGGCUGUUCGCCAUUUAAAGUGGUACGCGAGCUGGGUUCAGAACGUCGUGAGACAGUUCGGUCCCUAUCUUCCGUGGGCGUUUGAGAAUUGAGGGAAGCUGCUCCUAGUACGAGAGGACCGGAGUGGACACACCUCUGGUGUUCCGAUUGUCACGCCAGUGGCAUUGUCGGGUAGCUAUGUGUGGACGGGAUAACCGCUGAAAGCAUCUAAGCGGGAAGCCUCUCCCAAGAUUAGUUCUCACUGGGGAUUCAAUCCCCCUGAAGGGUCGUCGCAGACUACGACGUUGAUAGGUCAGGUGUGUAAGCGUAGUGAUACGUUGAGCUAACUGAUACUAAUUGCCCGUGAGGCUUGACCAUAUAACGCCCAAAGCGUU